rfam:Triticum aestivum genome assembly, contig: Triticum_aestivum_CS42_TGACv1_scaffold_327835_4BS
CAAGUACUCCCUCUAUCCGGAAAUACUUGUCAUCAAAAUGAAUAAAUGGGAUGUAUCUAGAUGUAUUUUAGUUCUAGAUACAUCUUUUAUUAUCCAUUCUGAGGACAAAUAUUUUCGGACGAAGGGAGCAGUAG